UACAGAGGUCUCAAGCGUUGUUCGGAUUCAUUGGGCGUAAAAGGGGUGCGUAGGCGGCGCGGUAAGUCGGGGUGUGAAAUCUUGGAGCUUAACUCCGAAACUGCAUUCGAUACUGCCGUGCUUGAGGACUGGAGAGGAGACUGGAAUUUACGGUGUAGCGGUGAAAUGCGUAGAUAUCGUAAGGAAGACCAGUGGCGAAGGCGGGUCUCUGGACAGUUCCUGACGCUGAGGCACGAAGGCCAGGGGAGCAAACGGG
rnacentral:rRNA from 1 species